rnacentral:rRNA from 1 species
GUAGGGUGCAAGCGUUAAUCGGAAUUACUGGGCGUAAAGCGUGCSCAGGCGGUUUCGUAAGUCUGUCGUGAAAUCCCCGGGCUUAACCUGGGAAUGGCGAUGGAGACUGCGAGGCUAGAGUUUGGCAGAGGGGGGUAGAAUUCCACGUGUAGCAAUGAAAUGCGUAGAGAUGUGGAGGAACACCGAUGGCGAAGGCAGCCCCCUGGGUCAAAACUGACGCUCAUGCACGAAAGCGUGGGGAGCAAACAGGAUUAGAUACCCUGGUAGUCCACGCCCUAAACGAUGUCUACUAGUUGUCGGGUCUUAAUUGACUUGGUAACGCAGCUAACGCGUGAAGUAGACCGCCUGGGGAGUACGGUCGCAAGAUUA